rnacentral:rRNA from 1 species
UACAUCUGUUUGAAUAUAGGGGAACCUUCCUCUAAGCCUUAAUAUAAUAUACAAGUAAUAGAGAACAGUACUGUGAAGGAAAUUUUGGAAGUAGUAGUCUUAUAAGCAGCUCGAGAUAAGUUUAAUAAACGUAUAAGAGCGUACCUUUUGUAUAAUGGGUCAGCAAGUUCUAGUUAGAUGCAAGCAAAUAAUCAGUGUAUAAAAAAAAAAAGGGAUUUGCCUAGAUAAUCCAAUUAUUAAGUAAUGAAUAAGUAUCUAAUUAGAGACCCGAAGAGUAGUGAUCUUACCAUGGUCAGGCUUAUAAAAGGCCGAAUGGGUUAUCGUUGUAAAGAUAUCCAAAGAACUGUGGUAAGUUAGUGAAAGACAAUCCUGACUACUAUAGCUGGUUUUCCGCGAAACAUAUGUAAGUAUGUAGUUUAAAUUACAUCAUAGCAGGUACAGAACUGUAAUCUCGGACAAUUUGUGCAUUUUCAUUACUAGGGGGUAACACCUAGAGAAUGUAAUGCCUUGUGCAUAUGGGGGGGUCGUGAAGACUCUAUUCGCGAGUAUUUGCUCUCGGAAGGGCAAUGAUGAAUGUUGAACUAUCAGACAUUUAACGAUAAGGUUGGGUGUCAAAAGGGAAACAGCCCAGAACAAGUGUUUAAGGUUCCAAAGUUUUUGUUAAGUGAAAGUAAGGAAGUAUUUAAACCAUACAACCAGGAAAUAGGCUUAGAAGCGGCCAUUUUUUAAAGACCUCGUAACAGAGCACUGGUUCAAAAGGUUAGUAAAAUAACCUAUUCAGUUAAAAGCGCCGAAGAUAUAACGGAUCUAAACAAAACACCGACACCUUGUCCAUAAAAAGACUAGGUUACCUUUGCUGUAGGAAGUUUCGCUGUAUUUACAAAACCCGCAAGGGAGUGGUAUGGGUAAUGAUUAUAAGCAAAAGGUAAUCCUAUGUUAUAUACGUAAACACUAGUUGCGUAUUAUUUAUGGGGUAGCGGAACAUUGGGUAAAUAGGACUAGAAACAAAGGAAAUAUAAAAGUAUUGUACUAAGCAAAAAGCACUACUAUUAGUAAAUAAUAGCGAGGAGUUGAUGUACAUAAGUUUAAAGAUAACUACAACGUAGUUUGAGCGCUAAAUAGCGCUAGUCCAGUAUAUCCCAAGCGAGAAUGCUGACACGAGUAACGAAAAAGAGGAGGCCAAUAGGCAACUCUCGCCUUAAGCUUAUGG